UACGAGUGCUCCAAGCGUUAUCCGGAAUUAUUGGGCGUAAAGGGUGUGUAGGCGGUUUUGUUAGUCUGUUGUUAAAGCUCCCCGCUUAACGGGGAAAAUGCAAUAGAAACGGCAAAUCUAGAGGAUGCGAAAGGUGAACAGAACUCAUAGUGUAGGGGUGAAAUCCGUUGAUAUUAUGGGGAAUACCAAAUGCGAAGGCAGUUCACUGGCGCACUCCUGACGUUGAAACACGAAAGCGUGGGUAGCGAAUGGG
rnacentral:rRNA from 1 species